UGGGGAAUAUUGAACAAUGGGCGCAAGCCUGAUGCAGCCAUGCCGCGUGUAUGAAGAAGGCCUUCGGGUUGUAAAGUACUUUCAGCGGGGAGGAAGGUGUUGAGGUUAAUAACCUCAGCAAUUGACGUUACCCGCAGAAGAAGCACCGGCUAACUCCGUGCCAGCAGCCGCGGUAAUACGGCGGGUGCAAGCGUUAAUCGGAAUUACUGGGCGUAAAGCGCACGCAGGCGGUCUGUCAAGUCGGAUGUGAAAUCCCCGGGCUCAACCUGGGAACUGCAUUCGAAACUGGCAGGCUAGAGUCUUGUAGAGGGGGGUAGAAUUCCAGGUGUAGCGGUGAAAUGCGUAGAGAUCUGGAGGAAUACCGGUGGCGAAGGCGGCCCCCUGGACAAAGACUGACGCUCAGGUGCGAAAGCGUGGGGAGCAAACA
rnacentral:rRNA from 1 species